rnacentral:rRNA from 1 species
AGUGAACGCUGGCGGUAGGCCUAACACAUGCAAGUCGAACGGCAGCACAGUAAGAGCUUGCUCUUACGGGUGGCGAGUGGCGGACGGGUGAGGAAUACAGCGGAAUCUACUUUUUCGUGGGGGAUAACGUAGGGAAACUUACGCUAAUACCGCAUACGACCUACGGGUGAAAGCAGGGGAUCUUCGGACCUUGCGCGAUUGAAUGAGCCGAUGUCGGAUUAGCUAGUUGGCGGGGUAAAGGCCCACCAAGGCGACGAUCCGUAGCUGGUGUGAGAGGGGGAUCCGCCACACUGGGACUGAGACACGGUCCAGACUCCGACGGGAGGCAGCAGUGGCGAAUAUUGGACAAUGGGCGCAAGCCUGAUCCAGCCAUACCGCGUGGGUGAAGAAGGCCUUCGGGUUGUAAAGCCCUUUUGUUGGGAAAGACAAGCAGCAGGUUAAUACCCCGCUGUUCUGACGGUACCAAAAGAAUAAGCACCGGCUAACUUCGUG